rnacentral:lncRNA from 10 species
GGGAGACCUAAUGUCCCCAGCACAUUCCAGACCUGCUCCCUUGGGAGGCGGUGCCAAGACAGCAUCUUCCUUGCCGCCUGAUUUCCAUGAGGAACAAUGGCUAAGGAAGGAAGGUCCUGGGAUGGAGAGUCUGUUUCCAUGGUUACCCAAAUUCCAGGCACUGGCCCCAGGCCCACCACAACGCAUCCCUCAAAGUCUCUUUGGCAGAGGAAAAGCAUUUCUCCUUGCUGCGGCAAGUCAGAGCCAGAAUCUCGGGUUCUCCUGCUCCAAAGCCCCCACUACACCCUCAUUCGCGUGUGAUUCAUGCGUUUAGGUGGUUCUGCUCAGCGUCGUUUUUUGAGUUGGGGAGCGGUGAGUAAGCACAAUAUAAGUUUCCUUCAUUUCUCUUCUCCUUGUUUGAGCUAAGGAAUUACUUUCUUGUACCAAACAUUACACCCUUGGAAAACACUCCAGAUGGUUCUCAUUAAAAUUCCAAUUCCUUUUUUUGCAAUUCAUUUUUCCCCAUUCUCCUCAAACUACUAUCUCAAAAAUAAACACCAGGCUGAGGAGCAAGUGAGGGGUCUGUGAAUAGCAGCUCCAGUGAAUGGAAUCUUUCAGAGACCCCUGGUGUGGCCCUGAAGGCGCCUGCAGCUUCUCUUCUUGCCAAGGGUCACCUGGCCCUUCAUAGGGAGGCCAGGGGUAGCAGCCCUGUGGCAUCCUCACCAGGGAGAGUCCAAACACACAUGGGGGGCAUGUGCAUAGGGAUGCACAUGAACACAUAGGGAUGCCGAGUGCAGCAGCCCCAUGCACUGUCACCAGGGAGCGUCCAAACACACGUGGGGGGCAUGUUCGAUGGCAAAGGUGCCCUAAGGGGGCCAUGGGCUCUGCUGCCUCUGCAGGAAGAGGGGCAGAAGGCCAGCUAGGCCUCUGUUCCCCAACAGGCUGGGCCCAGACCAUGCUUUGCAGAGGGGCUGUCCACCUUCUUUAGUAUACAGCGAGGCCUCUGCAGAUUUCUAAAGACACUGGCCACAGGAGCGAGGUGAUGCUUACUCUAAGAAGCGGACAAGGAGAGACUGCCAAUGCCUUUUGGCCAUAAUUGCAGCUGAGCAAGUCACAGGCUUUGCUCCCACAUCUGGAAAAAUCUGCAUGCACAGGAAAAGUAUGUGUGUGUCCAGUGAUGUGUAUUUGAUAUGUUUUUAUUUUCAACUUUAUGUUAUGAAAAAAUUUAAAAAUACAGAAAAGUUGUAAGAAUGGUACAAUGAACAGCCAUAUCACUCCACCUAGAUCCAACGAAUGUUACAUUUUGUCAUAUUUCCUUUCCCUCUCUCUCUUUCCAGAUACACAGAGAGAUAAAUACAUAUCCUUUGCUUAGACAUUUGAAAGUUAGGAUCUUGUCCCUAUAGCAUUUUAUAACCUAGUAAUCUAUGCAUUAAUGCAAUCAUAUACUGCAGUCAUGCACUGCAUGACAAUGUUUUGGUAAAUGAUAGACUGCAUAUACAAUGGUGAUCCCAUAAGAUUAUAAUACCAGGCCAGGUGUGGUGGCUCAAGCCUGUAAUCCCAGCACUUUGGGAGGCCAAGGUGGGCUGAUCACCUGAGGUCAGGAGUUUGAGACCAGCCUGGCCAACAUGGUGAAACGCUGUGUCAACUAAAAAAAAAUACAAAAAUCUAUUUUGCGCCUGUAAUCCCAGCUGGUUGGGAGGUCGAGGCACAAGAAUCGCUUGAACCCGGGAGGUGGAGAUUGUAAUGAGCUGAGAUAGCACUGAGCUGAGAUUGUACCACUGCACUCCAGCCUGGGUGACAGAGUGAGACUAAGUCUCCAAAAAAAAAAAAUUAUAAUACCAUAUUUUUACUGUACCUUUUUAUGUUUAGAUAUAUUUAGGUACACAAGUAAUUACCAUUGUGCUACAAUUGCCUACAGUAUUCAGUACAGUAACAUGCCAUGCAGGUUUGUAGCCUGGGAGUAAGAGGCUAUCCCAUAGAGCCUAGGUGUGUAGUAGGCUCUAGCACCUGGGUUUAUAUAACUGUGCUGUGUGAUGUUUGCACAACAACAAAAUCACCUAAUAAUGCAAAUACAUUUCUCAGAGCAUAUCCCUGUGAUUAAGUGACACAUGACUGUAUAUGAAUAUAUUCUUAUUGUAAAAUAUUCAAACAUCCGAAUAGUACAGACACAUAGAGUAUAAGCAAAACCCAGGCAUGAGCCCCUCCUCAUCUCACCUUCCCCACUCCCCAGGGUUGCUUGGCUUGUG